rnacentral:rRNA from 1 species
CCUACGGGUGGCAGCAGUGGGGGAUAUUGCACAAUGGGGGAAACCCUGAUGCAGCGACGCCGCGUGUGGGAAGACGGUCCUCUGGAUUGUAAACCACUGUCCCCAGGGACGAAGAUGACGGUACCGGGGGAGGAAGCGCCGGCUAACUACGUGCCAGCAGCCGCGGUAAGACGGAGGGAGCAAGCGUUGUCCGGAAUUACUGGGUGUAAAGGGAGCGUAGGCGGGAGGGCAAGUGGGGUGUUAAAUCUACCGGCUCAACUGGUAGUCGCACUCAAAACGGCUAUUCUUGAGUGAAGUAGAGGCAGGCGGCCUUCCUAGUGUAGCGGUGAACUGCGUCGAUAUUAGGCGGCACCCCAGUGGCGAAGGCGGCCUGCUGGGCUUUUCCUGCCGCUGAGGCUCGCCAGUGUGGGGAGCACACAGGAUUAGAUACCCGAGUAGUC